UAGCCUUGUAUGGCUCCUGCACCACUUC
rnacentral:piRNA from 1 species